rnacentral:rRNA from 1 species
UAGGGAAUAUUGCAAAAUGGGCGAAAGCCCGAUGCAGCAACGCCGCGUGGGCGAUGAAGGCCUUCGGGUCGUAAAGCCCUUUUUGAGGGGAUGAGGAAGGACAGUACCCUCAGAAUAAGCCUCGGCUAACUACGUGCCAGCAGCCGCGGUAAAACGUAGGAGGCGAGCGUUAUCCGGAUUUACUGGGCGUAAAGCGCGUGCAGGCGGAUUGGAGAGUUGGAUGUGAAAGCUCCCGGCUUAACUGGGAGAGGUCGUUCAAUACUUCCAGUCUUGAGUGCAUGAGAGGGCAGUGGAAUUCCGGGGGUAGUGGUGAAAUGCGUAGAUAUCCGGAGGAACACCAGUGGCGAAAGCGGCUUCCUGGACUGUAACUGACGCUCAGACGCGAAAGCUAGGGUAGCAAACG